UCAAUCUCGUGCGGCUAUAUAUACCGCCGGUCCCUCUAAGAAGAUUUUCAUUGUACGCCGAUAGUUGAAGCACCGCAAACCUUCCCGUGAAGGUCGGCAUGCGGACCCUCGUGAUAUCGGAGAUACGUCUAUUUAAUAGGCUAGAGUUACGUUCGUUAC
rnacentral:rRNA from 1 species